UGAUGACCGUUCCUCUCACUGUCAUAAGCAUUAGACAGUGGGAUUUUGUGUCAUCAAAGAUUAAAGUUGGCUUUUUUCACUCAAGGUGUCUCUGGAUGGGUUUGGCUGUCUGUUGGCACUGUUGAAUUUUGCGGGGCCACACAUCC
ensembl:snoRNA small nucleolar RNA, H/ACA box 79B